rfam:Bradyrhizobium sp. BR 10245 contig61, whole genome shotgun sequence.
UGGGGCGUAGCCAAGCGGUAAGGCAGCGGAUUUUGAUUCCGCCAUUCGGAGGUUCGAUCCCUCCCGCCCCAG